AGAGAAACGAGAGUACAAAAGUGGGAAGAAAACAGAUCUGAAAAAAGAGGACAAAAACGUAGCUCACUCCUCUUCUUCCUGUACGAGCAGGCAUGAAAAAUUCCAACAAUUCAACCACCAAAACGACCUCAAAAACACCUCCAAACCAACUCUGAAAAUCAGUCUAAAUCCACCAAAAAAUAGUCCCAGAACCACCCCGAAACAGCUGUAAUUCCACUAGUUCAUCGCUAUUGCUUUAGCUAUACAACCACCAGCGAAACACCAUCCAAAAUAAUCCUUUUUCUCUGUAAAAACCCACUUGAAAAAUGCAGCGAAAACCCCAUUAAAACCAUCGUAGUUCUUCCUCAAAGCAGCGUGCAAUUGGGUUGAGUCGGGUUUGAGUUCACGACGAGGUUUCGUUCGUGGUUCCGACGAGGUCUUCCAUCGCGGAUCUAUCAUGUGUUGUAGUAGCUAUUAUUCCAACUUUUAUAAAGGAUCUCUAUAUAUUGCAAGUCUGAAAUUGCUUCACUCAAGGUCCAUUUCUACUUUAGAUCUCAAUUUCGUGUAUGGCUUGAUGUUUAAUGUUGCUGAACUUAUAUUACUGGUGCAUUAUUUAUAUGGUUAUGUGGUGAUUCGUUCUUAGUUUGAGAAUUGUUGUGACGUUAUGCUGAUUUUCAUUUUCUCUUGUUAGCUUUGCAACUGCAAUUUAGUAUAACAAUUGUGGCUUAGAGUUCAUUCGUAUGUUUCAAGUGAUUUGUUAAAUGGAUCUGUUGAAUAGGAUUUUAUUAAAAUUAAGGAAUGAAGAUUCAAUGUCAUAUUUAUGGGCCAGUAUUGAGUCUUACAAAAUCGAAGUGGGUCCUGGGCUUUUGAAUUUUAAAUGGGUAUUGAGUUUAGGCUGAUUUGAACCAAUAAGUGGAACAGGUUGUAUUGGGCUUGAAUUUGACUCAUUAACUAGCUCGCCGUUUGAUCCAUAGCUGCUGAUAACUCCAAAAUGCCUUUUAGCCCAUUAAUGACUUGUAUUUUAGAUAGCUAAGUAAUACACAUCUUCCACAAUAAUUCCAUAAUUCAUGACCUCACAAUAAUCUCAAAAUUAGUUUAGAAAAAAAUAAUUCUUAAUAAUCGCUAGUAUGCUUUAGGCGCGUAUUAAUAAAUAAAUUAUCGUGAUUAUGCACACGUUCGCGUGCCAUAGUUAUGAUUUUAAAAAUUAAAAUCAAGGUAUGCAUUCGCGCAACCUUGGGCGAAACAAUCCUAAUAAUAACAAAGUGUUAUUAAUUAUGUACACAAACGCGUGACAUGAUUUUUAGCGCACUAAAUAAAACAGAUUCACACACAUGUGGUUCGUUUUAAGAUAAUUCCAUAAUGCCAUACUCAAGUAAUUUAAAAGCGGUGAAAGGUAAAACACACAUAGAUUCUAAAACAUAUAAUUAAAAAUUAAGCCAGGUAUGAUUAAGAGCGACCGUGCUAAAACCACGGAACUCGGGAGUGCCUCACACCUUCUCCCGGGUUAACAGAAUUUCUUACCCGAUCUUCUGUGUUCGUAGACCAUAAAUAAAAGUGAAUUUCCUUGAUUUGGGAUUUUAAAAUAAAACGGUGACUUGGGACACCAUAACAAAUAUUCCAAGUGGCGACUCUAUUUAAAUAAAUAAUUCCAUUUCGAAUAAUGUCACUUUAAUUGGAAAAACUAGCCUAUUCCUCGGAAAAAAAAGGUGUGACAGCUGUGGCUACUCUGCUGGGGAUCGAACCCAGAAUCUCUAGUUCAGGGUUCAGAAUUCGAGUUUGUAAUGUAAUCUAUACUUGGCUUUCUUGAUUGUUGAUAUUUGGACCUAAUGUGCUAAUUGCCGCCCAUUUACCGCUUUGAUAUUAUUUAAACUAUAUAAACUGUCUUCUCACGCCUCCCUUCUAAGUCUUCUGAAACUAUGGUGCACACGUACGUGUGGCCCAAUUUUCUGUUAGAGGUCAUACCAAAUAGAACGAGGCUGGAUCGGUAACUAGGCCGGAUAUACUUUCAUGCUCCCGGUACGUUGCCCCCACCUCGGCUCGAGCUGUUCGCUUGGGUAAGCCAGGUCUAAAACGCUUCCCCCAGGAUUUUAAACUUAGAAUAACAUAACCUCAUGCUAGAUCCCUAGUAGGAACGUUUGUUUGCAUCACGUGCAUUUGACUUUGGAGACUAAACACAAGAGUUGGGUCCGUCUAGGACAGGUGUACCCAAAAUAAAAGGUCAUCCUGAUGCAUCCUACGUGCUAUUUGUGCAUUUAUUUAUUUUAGCUAGCAUGUUGAUCGACUUUUAGAAUAGGAAAAUUAAAAUCAAGGAAAAACCAAGAGUGAGGUAGGAGAGAGAAAUUUACCCAAUUCUGAAAAACCCCAGUAUUUGGAAAAGUCCCGAAACUCUGCCGAAAUUUUGAAAAAAAAAAACAAUGAGUCAAUAUCUUCAAAAAGCAUGUUUUUAUUUUGUGUCAAAACUGACUGAACUACGCGGAUCUGAUUCUCACCGGAUAUGAGAUACGUAGGACAACCUCAUCGGUUCUGGCCCCCAAUUUCCAAAAAUCUAAAAAUAUUUUUCUUUAAUUCCUUCUUUAGAAGUCUUUCCAUAGAAAAUCCNAAAAAAAGAAAGCAAGAGUGAAAAAAUCCAAAAAGAGAACUCUUUGUCCAUUUUGAAAAAGAAAAUCGCGGAAAGUUUCCUUGGGUAUGCUGUCAAAUGGCGUGAGCAAGCCGCCAGGAUAAAUUCUCCAAUGGACGAAGCAGAAAUGGUUAGGGUCUUCCUACAGGCCCGAGAGGCAGACUACUUUCACAACAUGAUGUCCGCUAUGGGUAAACCAUUCGUGGAGGCUAUCAAAAUAGGGGAGAUGGUCGAAAAUGGUUUGAAAACGGGCCGAAUCUUGAGUCAAUCUGCCUUUAAGACCACAUCACAGUCCGUUCCAAAUGGUUCGGGGGUUUGUUAAAUAGAAACUGGAGAGAAGAUGGAGCCAUGAUGGCUUCGAGCUCGAAGAGGGCCCACAGGGCAUUCAACCAAUCAUAUAUGCUUUCUAAGGUCCCACAACACUAUAACCCCCAUCAAGAUUCUGCUUAGGCCGUGGCACCGCCUCCCUAUGUAGUGAUGAACGCGCAACCUGACACGCGACCACAAACAUUAUACACAAAAUCGAGCUCCACAUCCCAGAAAUGCCCGUCCCUACCAAGCUCAAUAUAAUCCCCAACCAAAUGUUCCCCAAUACAAUUCUCGCCUAAGAGAGCCCCUCAAAAGGAAUCAGUUAACCCCUAUUGGUGAAUCAUAUUCAAGUUUGUUUCAAAAGCUAAUCGGGCUAGGUCUGUUGCAGCCAGUGGCCCCAAACCGGCCAAACCCCGAGUCCCCCUCGCACCAAGCUGAUGCUAGAUGUGAAUACCACUCUGGAGCAGUGUGACAUGAUACGAAAGACUGUUGGGCCCUCAAAAGAGCAGUUGAAGUAUUGAUGAUUCAGCAUUGAAAGCCACAAUAGCCAUUGCCGCAACAUAAGAGAAACCUAAAAACGGGCACCAAACCUAAAAGGUUCUAUGUCAGAUGGGAGUCUUGGUAGCCAGUCCUGCUAUCUUUUCUGCGUCCGAAUUAUUUCAGGGUGUAAUCCGGAUGUUUUGCUUCACUACUUUGCUUUCUAAUGUAAACCCUUCUAUCUUAAAACAAAAGUUUCAAGUAAAUGAAAUUAAUAUUUCAUCGUUAACGAAUGUCUCUUUUCUUAAUCUUAUCACCUUUAUUAUUCUCUUUUUCAGUUCUAUUAAUGCAGAUUUUAAUAACAUGACAUUCAUGCCGACUUCAUGCCCAGAUCCUAAAAUGUUGUAAAACCUCGAAAUAAUGAAUCAAAAAGUAGAAUGUGUUGAAGAUAAGGUUUGUGAGAAAAUAAACAAAGAAUUGGAACAGUAGAUCUAAGCCAAGUCCGAAUGAAAUCGGAAGAAGUUGAAAUUCUCUCUCUUCGGAUCAUUGUUAAAGCCGAGAUUAAGGAUAGAGAUUUGGUCAAGAACCGAUUGAACAAAUGACAUUGAUUGAUGAAAAACGAUUGGCCGUAGUUUGCCACGGGUAGUUGUACCAACAAAGAAUAGCCCGUGUCUACAACAAGAAAGUGCGGCCCAGGAAAUUAGAAAUAGGACAACUCAUUCUGAGAUGUAUCCUCCCACGUCAUGAAGAAGCUAAAGGAAAAUUGGCUCUAAAUUGGAAAGGUCCAUACAUUGUAAUGAGAGUACUUCCAAAAGAGAGCAUUGUACCUGGGAAGCAUCGAAGGAAAUGUCACUGGAACAACUAUCAACGUAGAUACAGUCAAAAUGUACUAUGCUUGACCCUCUAUGUAGUAUUAAUGUUCUCUGAUUGGACGACUUUCAUUCUCGCUAUCCAAGCACUAUCAACCAUUUGCUAACCUUUUUGAGCCGGUUACCUUUCUUUGAUUACCCUCUUUGGAACCAGAAGAUGUUAUUAAAAAAAACAAGAAAGAAAAAAGAGAAGAAAAUCAAAACAAAGAAGAAGAAAAAAGGAAAAAAAAAGAAAGAAGAGAAAAACAGAAGAAAAAGAAAAGAAAACAAAAAUCAAAAUAAUUCAUGUUAAUUGAACUACAUUCGGCUUGAUUCCGAAAGGAUACGUAGGCAGCCUCCCUCUGGGGUUUAGUCACACUAAAACAAAAAUCCACAUUCCCCCAAAGUUAAAAUUGGGGCAAAUGUUACAAUGGUUCGGUGAUGGUUUCGCCUAAAAGGUUCCAAAGUUGUAAUUCAAUCCAAAUUUUUUUUACACAAAUCCUUUUCAAGUUAUUUCGAUCAAUCGGUGAGAAUGAACAAGAAUUGAAGGAUACAAUUACUUGGAUAUGAUACAACAAAGUGAGAGAAACCAAAAUGAGAGAGUCUUAUUGGUAAAAACCCUCAUGGGCACUGUAAAGUGAUGGUGAGUAAAGACUUAAAAUGAGAGAGUCUUGUUAGUAAAAACUCGUAAAUAGCACUAUAAGGCGAUGUUGAGAAUAGAAUUGAGAGAGGCCAGUUAGUGAAAACCCGCAAAGGGCGCCAAUGAUGGAAAAGAGGAUUCUCACAGCCAUUAGCAUCGACACAAUCUUGGGCAAGUUUUCUCGAUUUCGAGGCAAAAGUUGUGAUGAAUUUUUGAGAGUCGGACGGUUUACACAUAUCAAGCAUCCAGUCCAAAAGGCAUAUCGUAUUCAUUGAAGUCCUCAUGUACUCCAGAUAAGUCCUUCUUUCCUUUCCCCAAAAGGGAUACUUCUUGUUUAAAUUCAUUUUCCAUUCUAUUGCUUGUUUUUCUUUAAAUCCCUUUCAGUCUAACUUUGUUCCAAAACUAUGGCAAAGAAGUGAUGGCAAGAAUGAUUUAUAGGGUUCUUGUUUGAUACAAGCUAAUAUGCAAACAAGGCACCCAACCUCGGCAGGGGCAUCAAGUCGACCCCGACUGGCCAUAGUGGCCGAUGCUUCGAGAUCGAAAACUCUUGGCAGGAGAAAGUCAAAUUAAAGUGCCUAUAAGGGAAAAAUUAAAUUGAAAAGGUUGAGUCCCACAUGGAUAACCAUCUUUGGCAAGGUUUGAAAAACCAAGGUACCUCAAUGCUCUGAAUAUAAAAUUUGAAGAAAGAAGUCAGAAGGAAAAUGCCCACAAAGGCAAAAUAAAGUUGAAAAGGGUUAAGUCCCACGCGACCAACCACCAGGGAAAAGUUUUGGAAAAGUCAAAGGUUCUCUAGGGCCAGAAGUGCAAUCGGUAUUCAGGAAAUAACCAGUUGCAAGUGAAAUUAUCAUCAAAGAAGCCGGCCAAGAUCAAGUGACUGAAACACUCAAGGCCGCAAAACCAACCACCGUUCAAACUAACAAUUGUUUUUUGUAAAAACAAAAAACAGGAAACAGGUGCAAUCCAAAGCAACCUCGCAAGAAGCAGGUGCAACCAAAAGAAACCACGCGGAGACUAAAAUAGCUCUACAUCAGCAACAACUCCAAAAGGGAUGUCUUCUCUAAAUUCUUUCUCGCAUUUUAAUCAUUCUCUUAAUAUAUAAAGAAAAGUUCAAAAUCAUGGUAGCAUAAGAUUUUUACUCCCUAGUUAAUUUUAUUUUAGACAUAGGGUCUCCACUCCCUAGUAUGCUUUUCCAACAUAAGGUCUUCACUCCCUAAUUGAUUUUACUUUAGACAUAGGGCUCCACUCCCUAGUCAUUUUUCUAACAUGGGGUCUCCACUCCUUAGUUGAUUUUAUUUUAGACAUAGGGUCUCCACUCCCUAGUCACAUUUCCAACAUAGGGUCUUCACUCCAUAGUUGAUUUUAUUUUAGACAUAUGAUUUCUACUCCCUAGUCUCUUUUCCAACAUAGGGUCUCCACUCCCUUGUCACUUUUCCAACAUAAGGUCUUCACUCCCUAGUUGAUUUUAUUUUAGACAUAGGGUCUUCACUCCCUAGUCGCUUUUCUAACAUAUGGUCUCCACUCCCUAGUUGAUUUUAUUUUAGAUAUAGGGUCUGGGCUCCAUAGUCUCCUUUUCCAACAUAGGGUCUCCACUCCCUAGUCGUUUUUCCAACAUNNNNNNNNNNNNNNNNNNNNNNNNNNNNNNNNNNNNNNNNNNNNNNNNNNNNNNNNNNNNNNNNNNNNNNNNNNNNNNNNNNNNNNNNNACUCCCUAGUCACUUUUCCAACAUAGGGUCUCCACACCCUAGUUGAUUUUAUUUUAGACAUAGAGUCUCCAUUUCCAAGUCGCUUUUUCAACAUAGGGUAUUCACUCUCUAAUUGAUUGUUUUUAGACAUAGGGUCUCCACUCCCUAGUCUUAUUUUCCAAUAUAUGGUCUCCACUCCCUAGUUGAUUUUGUUUAUACAUAGGGUCUCCACUCCCUAGUCUCUGUUUUCAACUUAGGAUCUUCACUCCCUAGUUGAUUUUAGUUUAGACAUAGGAUCUCCACUCCCUAGUUGAUUUUAUUAGAGACAUAGGGUCUCCAAUCCCUAGUCUCCUUUUCAACAUUAGGGUCUCCACUCCCUAGUUGAUGAUAUUUUGGAAAUGGGGUCCCCACUCCCUAGUCUCCAUACCAGUAUAAGGUACACCAAACCCUAGCUGUGUUUUCCAACAUAGGGUACACCAAUCCCUAGUUGAUCUGAUCUUAAAUGCGGGGUGCACCACUCCCUGAUAUAAUUGUUAAUAUAGGGUACACCAUUCCCUCAUAGUAUUCUCCCAACAUAAGGUACACCAAUUCUUAGUUGAGGCAUCUUUUUGAAAAUAAAGGAACAACAUCCAAAACAAAAAUCAUGAUCUUUUCAGGAUAAACCAUUCUCGACCUUUUAUUGCUUUCAAUAAUGAAGCAGUAUAGAGUUUUGUUACAAAUAACUCGCGGAAUUUUCCUAAUAAAAACUGGGGCAGAAAAUUUUUGUUUGUUUGUUUGUUUUGGUGUCUGAGUAGGUUUUACUUCGAGGCACAAGGUUCAUGAUGACCAAAAGAAGAAGUCUCAAUUCUGAAUAAAAGAAAAGAAAAAAUAAGUGAAUCCAAAAUAUAGAAGAAGUGAAAAGAUGUGGACUGCUCAAGACUUGGUUGAAUUCAUGAGCAUUGCACUUCUUGUUUUGAUAAUAAGAAGCCUUAUAAGAAUGAACUAACACCUACAACUAGCAAGCAUCAAGGUUCAGAUCAGAGUCUGCGUGAAGAACCAAUCAAGACUCAAGAUCAAGUUUCAGAAGACUUGUAGAUAGGAAUCUUGUUAACUCAUAGUGGAUAGGCUUGUUUAGUUUCUUUUGAUUUUGAUUUUGAUGUAAUAACAGGACCACAGACCGGAGCCUCAACGGAACCUCACUCAACUCUGCAACUCAUCAUUCCCCUACUCUCCUUGAACUACACGUGACCUAAUUCCCUUAUAAUUCGGGGUAUGUAGGCUGUCCAAAACCAUGACUAGGUUGCACCUUUCUUUUAUUUAUUUUCCCUUUUUGAAUAAUAAUUUGGUCAAAUAUUAGUCACACGGCUCACCUUAUCUUUGCCUGAAAACUCUUCAUGUUUUCAAGAAAAGAGGGGCAUGAUGUGAGCACCUAAUUUUUACCAUAUUUGGAUUUUUCACCACUUUUUGUUAUUUAAAUAAUUUUUGAGUUUAAUCUUGAUAUUUUUGCUUUUUAUUCACCUUUUUAUAGGUUUUAUUUGAGAAAAUUAAAAACCAACAAAAAGAGUCACAUUUUUAGAUAUUAGUUGUGUUUCAUUUGCAAAAGAAAAGAAAAACUCAAAAAACAAAAAUCUCUUUUAAGAGAUACUUUAGCUAAUAUUUCAUCCUUAUAUUUUUUUUUAUUUGUCUUAAAAAGAAAAAAAAAAUAGAAAAUGAAACAGAAAACAAGAGCCAAUUAGAAAUGGCCAAGCUGCAAAGAUUCUUUUUUUAAUAACAAACUUUACACCUGCUCAUGGAUGACUUGCUCACUAAUUAAGCCCAACAUAUUUUUAUGCCAUUCCCGAUUACCUAGAAAAAUGAUUCCCCCACACAAGACCUAGAUCUUCAGGUAUAAAGAGGGGGGAACACUUGAAAAAACAGAGAUGUAGAGAGCACGAGAGAAGCGAGAGGGAAAAAUUAGGAAGAAAACAGAUCUGAAAAAAGAGGACAAAAACGCAGCUGACUCCUCUUCUUCCUAUACGAGUAGGCAUGAAAAAUUCCAACAAUUCAACCACCAAAACGACCUCAAAAACACCUCCAAACCAACUCUGAAAAUCAGUCUAAAUCCACCAAAAUAUAGUCCCAAAAAUACCCUGAAACAGCUGUAAUUCCACUAGUUUGUUGCUACUGGUUUAGCUGUACAACCACCAGCAAAACACCAUCCAAAAUAUUCCUUUUUCUGUGUAAAACUCCAGCUGAAAAAUGCAGCGAAAAACCCAUUAAAACCAUCGUAGUUCUUCCUCAAAGCAGCGUGCAAUUGGGUUGAGUCGGGUUUGAGUUCACGACGAGGUUUCGUUCGUGGUUCUGACGAGGUCUUCCAUCGCGGAUCUAUCAUGUGUUGUAGUAGCUAUUAUUCCAACCUUUAUAAAGGAUCUCUAUAUAUUGCAAGUCUGAAAUUGCUUCACUCAAGGUCCAUUUCUACUUUAGAUCUCUAUUUCGUGUAUGGCUUGAUGUUUAAUGUUGCUGAGCUUAUAUUACUGGUGCAUUGUUUAUAUGGUUAUGUGGUGAUUCGUUCUUAGUUUGAGAAUUGUUGUGAUGUUAUGCUGAUUUUCAAUUUCUCUUGUUAGCUUUGCAACUGCAAUUUAGUAUAACAAUUGUGGCUUAGAGUUCAUUCGUAUGUUUCAAGUGAUUUGUUAAAUGGAUCUGUUGAACAUGAUUUUAUUAGAAUUAGGGAAUGAAGAUUCAAUGUCAUAUUUAUGGGCAAGUAACUAGGCCGGAUAUACCUUCGUGCUCCCGGUAUGAGGCUGGGUCGGUAACGAGGCUAGGUCGGUAACUAGGCCGGAUAUACUUUUGUGCUCCAGGUAUGUUGCCCCCACCUCGGCUCAAGCUGUUCGCUUGGGUAAGCCAGGUCUAAAACACUCCCCCCAGGAUUUUAAACUUAGAAUAAUAUAGCCUCAUGCCAGAUACCUAGUCGGAACGUUUGUUUGCAUCACGUGCAUUUGACUUUGAGGAUUAAACACAGGAGUUGGGUCCGUCUAGGAUAGGUAUACCCAAAAUAAAAGGUCAUCCUGAUGCAUCCUACGUGCUAUUUGUGCAUUUAUUUAUUUCAGCUAGCAUGUUGAUCGACUUCUAGAAUAGGAAAAUUAAAAUCAAGGAAAAACCAAGAGUGAGGUAGGAGAGAGAAAUUUACCUAGUUCUGAAAAACCCUAGUAUUUGGAAAAGUCCCGAAACUCUGCCGAAAUUUUGGAAAAAAAAAAUAACGAGUCAAUAUCUUCAAAAAGCAUGUUUUUAUGUUGUGUCAAAACUGACUGAACUAUGAGGAUCUGAUACUCACCGGAUGUGAGAUACGUAGGCAAACCUCAUCGGUUCCGGCCCCCAAUUUCCAAAAAUUCAAAAAUAUUUUUCUUUAAUUCCUUCUUUAGAAGUCUUUUCAUAGAAAAUCCCAAAUAAAAAAUUUUAAAACAAAAAAUAUUUUCUUUCCUUUUAGAAUUCUUUCAUUCGAAAAAAAAAAUCAAAUAAAAAUAAAAAAAUAUGGUUUUUUCCUUCUUUAGAAGUCUUUCUCCCAAAUAUUCAAAAAAGAAAUAAAAAAAAUUCCUAAAGGUAUUUUCUUUCUCCUUUAAGA
rnacentral:lncRNA from 1 species